rnacentral:rRNA from 1 species
UGGGGAAUAUUGGACAAUGGGCGCAAGCCUGAUCCAGCCAUGCCGCGUGAGUGAUGAAGGCCCUAGGGUUGUAAAGCUCUUUCACCGGUGAAGAUAAUGACGGUAACCGGAGAAGAAGCCCCGGCUAACUUCGUGCCAGCAGCCGCGGUAAUACGAAGGGGGCUAGCGUUGUUCGGAUUUACUGGGCGUAAAGCGCACGUAGGCGGACUUUUAAGUCAGGGGUGAAAUCCCGGGGCUCAACCCCGGAACUGCCUUUGAUACUGGAAGUCUUGAGUAUGGUAGAGGUGAGUGGAAUUCCGAGUGUAGGGGUUAAAUUCGUAGAUAUUCGGAGGAACACCAGUGGCGAAGGCAGCUCACUGGACCAUUACUGACGCUGAGGUGCGAAAGCGUGGGGAGCAAACAGG